CUUGGCCUCAGGCUUUGUUUAUUGCACAGUCUUGUGUUAAGUAACAUGUAAGCAAACAACAAAUGAAGCAAUUUUCAAGAAUUCAUAGCACCUUCAACAAAUAAAGUGGUUUACCUUUCAGGUCAAAGCCCAACCUUAAACCGCCUUCUAUAGCAAAAAUUUAAAAAAAAAAAAAAAAUCUUCCUUACUUGAGUCUGUCAGUUCCUCAAGGAUUCUCCUGAAACUUAAGGCAUCUAGCUGCCAUCUCCAAACUUCUUCAGGAUCUGACCAUAACCUGCUAUGAAGUUUAUUAAGUUAUAUAGCCAAGAUGCACUUAGGGUGGCCUCUUCUUGAUUUUGACCUGAGCUUUGACAGAUCUUAGCUUUACUGUAACUAGGAGCUCCAACAUCUGACUACCUAUUGGCCCAUCCAGCCUCAGCCCUUUUUUAAUCCCAGCUAGUGUGAAUGGAUAAAGCAAUGAUUUAUUAAUGGAGAUAGAGUGGAACUUAUGUGAGGCCAGGUUCCUUUCCUGCUGAAAGAAAAUACUUCCUGGGUUGCUUUAAAACACAUAGGUUGGUUGCUAGUCUGUUACUGUAGAGAUCAUUCAGUUUCAGGCAUGAGCUGGACUGAGAGAUUAAUGAGUUUACUUUUUCCCUGCUUUAACUGUGCCAGAGCUGGGAGGAUGCAGAUGCAGGGGAGCUGGCUAUGGCACAGCUGGGAUGCUUACUAACGUAGACAAGUGGGACAUUUUAAUGCAGACGGCAGGAGACUGUGAUUGCCCUACAUACAGAUAGCCAAAAUCCUAAUCAACUAGCCUGCAACAACAACCUGCCGGAACCCAGGAAGCCUGUCAGCCUCAUGCUUGUAGUCCCCAGGCCAUCUAGGGAUAAUGAAAUUUGCUGGUCCAAGAAAGCUAAUCUAUUCCACUUUUCCAAACAAGCCUGCUCCCUAGUGAAAGCAGAAGCAUUCAUGUAGGUAUGGUUCAGAAACGAAAAGAAGGAUAAGACAAAGCAAGGCCAGUCAAGGCAGGGCAAUAAGGGACAAUAUUCACAAUCAAUCACACAUCUUUGACUUUUGAAUUUUCUAUAAGCAAGAAUAUCUUACUUCCAGAUUUGUUCUUAAACAAACAUCUCUACCUUAAAAAAAAAUAAUAAAUACCACUUAAAUAUAUGCUAAGCCAGAACUAUUUCUUUCUCCAAAUGCCUAUUUAAAUGUAUAAGUACUUGCUGUUUGUUAGAAAAUGUGUUUCUAAACACAUUUUAUCAAGUGAAGGAGAUUUGAGACAAAACCAACUGGAUUAUCCCUGCAUUUUUGUAGUUAGGGGAAUAACAUGUUUUGUUCCAUCAAUGUGUCCACUUUACAUUAUUCAGCACAAAGCUCUGUGAAAUAAGAAUCAUGGGAAUAUCACAGUAUAAAGGAAAAAGGUACAAAUAACAGCUUCAUAAACUGAGAAAUGUACAUAAAUAAAUCAUGUAGAUGGGGGCAGUUUGCUUAGCUGGCAAGAAAAAAAAUACGGAAAAUCUGCUUGUUAAACAAUAACCACAGAGUAUGCUUUUAUGGUGUUUUUCACCACAGUAAUUCAUAUUACAGAUAGAAGCAGUUGCAUGUUAAAUAAAAUCAUUCAGCAUUGUUCUCACAUUACAAAGAGCUGACUUAUGUUGUUUUUAGAUGCCUCCCAUUAUAAAGUAAAUAUUCCUCUGAUGUUAUACAUUUCAGAAAAUUUAAUAAAGAUGAACUGUAAAUAAAGUCACAGGGAGAUUUCAGACAGUUUUAUUAGCAGAUUGUUGAAAAGAAAAGAAAAUUAAAUACAAUAACAGUAAACGUGGUUCUCACAUUGAAACCAGGCUCAAAUAACUAGGCUACCAUAGAAAAAUUUCCAAUUCUUGCAUUAUGAUGUAAAAACAGAUUUUUGUACAGAUUUUGUACAACAAAAUUCGUAAUAACCUUUUUUCAUUUUUAGAAAACUUUAAAUAUAUAGAUAAAAAUAGACAAUUUUCAUAGGUCCUACAUGAAGAUGAGUAUGUUCUGUUCCAAGGGCUUGCAUAGAGCGCAAAUGUGGUUAUAAUAUAGAACAACUAGACAUUAAUAUCUUUAAGAUUACAAAAGCAUAUAAACAAUAACAUGAGCACAAUUUCUUCAUUAUCUAUGCAAAAAAAAAAAAAAAAAAAAAAUCCAAAUCAAAACCCAAAACUAAAAUACCAACCCAAAACCUGCAUAACUAAAGAGGGGCAAAAAAUUCAACUUACGGUAACAUCUCAUGGUCUGUAAUAUUUACACUGGUUUUAGCAAGAUUCUUUCUAAACAUCCAGCUUAUAAAUUGGUUCCCCCUUAAACCUUAACAUUUCCAUUUAUGUACCAAGCCAAACACUGAGGCAUUCCCAAAGGUCUUGAAAGUAUAUACUGUAAAACUACUAAACCUACUUACAGGUGACUCUAUGCAAGGAGCAGAGCAAUGGUAGAUGCUACUAUAUAUUUAUUUCAGUUGUAGGCUUUUAAUUCUCUUUCAGAUAUGAAUGAUUCAAAAGCUUGCCACAAGUCCAUCUAACUUUAUAGCUGUUAACCCUUUAAAGACUGCAUAUGAAAAAACUGGAGUACAGAAUCCCAUAUGUGUUCAAGCAACUACAAAAAUUAUGAAAGAAUCAUGGUUAGAAAAUAAUAUCGCUAGAAAGUAUUAGGUAACAAUAUUUAAUGAAAAAUAUUGCUCAAUAUUUCUUUAAAAAAAAUUACCAUGAUGUGAACUUGUAUAUACAUCU
rnacentral:lncRNA from 1 species